GUUUACGACCAUAUCACAUUGAAAACACCGGUUCUCGUCCGAUCACCGAAGUUAAACAAGGUCGAUCCUAGUUAGUACUUAAAUGGGUGACCACUUGGGAAACCUAGGUGCUGUAAACG
rnacentral:rRNA from 1 species